rnacentral:rRNA from 1 species
GACGAACGCUGGCGGCGUGCCUAACACAUGCAAGUCGAACGAGGUCCAUCCUUCGGGAGAAGACCUAGUGGCGAACGGGUGAGUAACACGUGAAGAACCUGCCCCGAAGACCGGGAUAACCCUCCGAAAGGAGAGCUAAUACCGGAUACCCCCACCGAACCGCAUGGUUUGGUGAGGAAAAAGGAUUCCGCUUCGGGAGGGCUUCGCGGCCUAUCAGCUAGUUGGUGGGGUAACGGCCCACCAAGGCAUCGACGGGUAGCUGGUCUGAGAGGACGAUCAGCCACACUGGGACUGAGACACGGCCCAGACUCCUACGGGAGGCAGCAGUGGGGAAUCUUGCGCAAUGGGCGAAAGCCUGACGCAGCAACGCCGCGUGGGGGAUGAAGGCUCUCGGGUUGUAAACCCCUUUCAGCAGGGACGAAUCAAGACGGUACCUGCAGAAGAAGCCCCGGCUAACUACGUGCCAGCAGCCGCGGUAAU